rnacentral:rRNA from 1 species
AUGAAUCGGAAGGCAGCGUCGGCGCUGGAUCUGGGAGUGGUGGAGCCGCUACCGUCUCCACUCGUAGAGAACUGGCCAGAUCCGCCCCAUGAGCUUCACAGGUGCCACCCCCUCCGCCAACAGCCAUGGUGGCCUCCCCCGCCCCGUAUCGACGCGGAUCCAGCCGCCAUCUCCCGCAGCAACGGCGGCCUCGCCCUGCUCCGGCCCCGCUCCUCCUCCUCCUCCGCGCCUUCGCCUUGCUCCCCAUCGCGGCGGCCAUGA